UGGGUAACCUACCCCAAUGACCGGGACAACUCGGGGAAACUCGAGCUAAUACCGGAUGUGUUCUCUCUCCUCAAGGAGUGAGAGCAAAGGUAGCUUCGGCCUCCGCAUUGGGAUGGGCCCGCGGCCCAUUAGCUUGUUGGUGGGGUAACGGCCUACCAAGGCUGCGAUGGGUAGCUGGUCUGAGAGGACGAUCAGCCACACUGGGACUGAGACACGGCCCAGACUCCUACGGGAGGNAG
rnacentral:rRNA from 1 species